UACGUAGGUGGCGAGCGUUAUCCGGAUUUAUUGGGUUUAAAGGGUGCGUAGGCGGGCUUUUAAGUCAGCGGUAAAAAUUCGGGGCUCAACCCCGUCCGGCCGUUGAAACUGGGGGUCUUGAGUGGGCGAGAAGAAGGCGGAAUGCGUGGUGUAGCGGUGAAAUGCAUAGAUAUCACGCAGAACCCCGAUUGCGAAGGCAGCCUUCCGGCGCCCUACUGACGCUGAGGCACGAAAGUGCGGGGAUCGAACAGG
rnacentral:rRNA from 1 species